rnacentral:rRNA from 1 species
GACGAACGCUGGCGGCGUGCUUAACACAUGCAAGUCGAACGGAAAGGCCCUGCUUUUGUGGGGUGCUCGAGUGGCGAACGGGUGAGUAACACGUGAGUAACCUGCCCUUGACUUUGGGAUAACUUCAGGAAACUGGGGCUAAUACCGGAUAGGAGCUCCUGCUGCAUGGUGGGGGUUGGAAAGUUUCGGCGGUUGGGGAUGGACUCGCGGCUUAUCAGCUUGUUGGUGGGGUAGUGGCUUACCAAGGCUUAGACGGGUAGCCGGCCUGAGAGGGUGACCGGCCACAUUGGGACUGAGAUACGGCCCAGACUCCUACGGGAGGCAGCAGUGGGGAAUAUUGCACAAUGGGCGGAAGCCUGAUGCAGCAACGCCGCGUGCGGGAUGACGGCCUUCGGGUUGUAAACCGCUUUCGCCUGUGACGAAGCGUGAGUGACGGUAAUGGGUAAAGAAGCACCGGCUAACUACGU